AACGAACGCUGGCGGCGUGGAUAAGACAUGCAAGUCGAACGGGACAGACCGAGUAGCAAUAUUUGGAAUGUUCAGUGGCGAACGGGUGCGUAACACGUGGAUAACAUUCCGGAAAGCGGGGAAUAGCCCAGGGAAACUUGGAUUAAUACCGCAUGUGGCCGCAAGGCUAAAGACGGGGACCGCAAGGCCUGUCACCUUCCGAUUGGUCCGCGGCCUAUCAGGUAGUUGGCGGGGUAAUGGCCCACCAAGGGUACGACGGGUAGCUGGUCUUAGAGGACGACCAGCCACACUGGAACUGAGACACGGUCCAGACACCUACGGGUGGCAGCAGUCGGGAAUCUUUCACAAUGGGGGCAACCCUGAUGGAGCGACGCCGCGUGGAGGACAAGGUCUUCGGAUUGUAAACUCCUGUCAUGCGAGAACAAGGUACUCAGGCUAAUAACCUGAUUGUUUGAUGGUACCGCAAGAGGAAGAGACGGCUAACUCUGUGCCAGCAGCCGCCGUAACAC
rnacentral:rRNA from 1 species